rnacentral:lncRNA from 1 species
AGCUGAAGGACAAAGUUCUGUGGGCGGAAGCAGGGGAUUCUAAGCUGGUCGCUGGUACCGAGGUAGACUCUUAGAAUGCAGCUUGUGUUGAGGGAUUUGGAGUUCCGUCCUGAGAAAUCCACAAGUCAGAUGACCUAAACCUCCUUCACUGUGUUUAUAAAUAAAUUCGACUUCUCCAGGGAAGAGAAAUGUAGAAGAAUAUUUUAAGGCACAUGAAGGUUACUACAAGCUGGUUGGAACCAGACUGUAUUGGCCCAGGGACUGACUGUCCACAGUAUCGUCCUAUGAUGGGUGAUCCAGGGGAGUCACCAUUCCUGACAGUGACCGAGUCUGACGUGCAAGUUGGAUGGUUCUCCACACUAAAGUCACUAAAUGUGAGCUGCAGAAGAGAAAAGGCAUGAUGAGUCCCCAUGAGCUGAAACGGAGUCACCCUAAAAGGAGUCACCCUAAAAGGAGUCACCCUAAAAGGAGUCACCCUGCCUCCAGGCAGCAAGUUUUCUACAGAAGAUUUGAUUUCCUUGUAAGUCAGAUGGUUUUCUAUUUCUGGUUCUUUCAUUCUCUCAUGCCCACACUGUUUUCCUUAUUAAAAGUUCUCUUGUAAAUUUAAAAAUA